CCAAGGCAUGCCUCAGUAGCGGCGAGUGAGCGGCAAAAGCUCAGAUUUGAAAUCGUGUUUCGGCACGAGUUGUAGAUUGCAGGUUGGAGUCUUUGUGGAAGCGUGUGUCUAAGUCCCUUGGAACAGGGUGCCAUUGAGGGUGAGAGCCCCGUGAGACGCGUGCGGAAGCUGUAAGGCCCUUCUGACGAGUCGAGUUGUUUGGGAAUGCAGCUCUAAGUGGGUGGUAAAUUCCAUCUAAGGCUAAAUAUUGGCGAGAGACCGAUAGCGAACAAGUACUGUGAAGGAAAGAUGAAAAGCACUUUGAAAAGAGAGUGAAACAGCACGUGAAAUUGUUGAAAGGGAAGGGUAUUGGGCUCGACAUGGGAUUUGCGCACCGCUGCUCCUUGUGGGCGGCGCUCUGUGCUUUUCCUGGGCCAGCAUCGGUUUUUGCCGCAGGAGAAGGCGUGCUGGAAUGUGGCUCUUCGGAGUGUUAUAGCCAGUGCGAGAUGCUGCGUGCGGGGACCGAGGACUGCGACAUCUGUCUCGGAUGCUGGCACAACGGCGCAAUACCGCCCGUCUUGAACCCAGGGACCCA
rnacentral:rRNA from 1 species